UUUUAUCAUUUUUUUUUUUGUGAAAACUUCUAUUCUGACAACAUGCUAGAACUUUUGUAUAGUGUUUAACUUAUACUUUAACCUAGUAUUUUUUGACAUAUCCUAACUUGGUUUUGGAUUUUAUUCUCUAAUAUAGACAUAAUGAGGAUGUUGUUUAAUUUUUUUUAUGACAAAAUAAUGUUUUUAGAUAUUUGUUUGGGAUUUUUAAAUUGAAUGCAAUUGUUUUCCCCCUUUACUGCAUGUUUUUGUCUUAGUUACUAACUUUGAUACUUAUAACUAUCUAGAGCAUUGGUUUAAAUUUAACAAUGAGUCCAUAUGCGUGUCCUAUGUGAUAGUUGUUGUUUCUUUAGGCUCAUGCCAUUUGAUUUGAGUUUUAUAUAUACCAUGUAUAUUAGGGUUUAUUGUCAUAGUUAUUUGUUAUUACUUGUGUGCUAACCUUCUCCAGCCACAUGCAAGCGCAUUGUAAGUUAUGCAUGUUAUCCAUGUACAUCCUAUACACCCUUUCUCUUUUUUAAUUCUGUAAAUAUGCAAACUUUGUUUGUGAAUACUCUCGUGUUUGAUAUUGUCUUGAUUGCUUUGAUUUAUUGCUUGAUUAUUUGAAGGGAUUGAAUGCAUGAGGUAUGUAGUAUUAUAUUGUUAAACUAACUUUGACGUCUUGUGAUAAUGCCUAAGAAGCAAUCCAGGUACACACCCUAACUCUUCUUUAUGAUUGUGAUUGGCUUUCUUGUUUGGCACGUUAAUUUUGAAAUCACCUUAGCUUCUCUAAGUAUCCAUAAUUAAUUGAUUAAUUACCAUAUUUCCCUUAACUUAGCCAGUAGAGACCUCUUUAGGGCUUAGAGGAGUUCUACCUCUUUGAGGUACCUUCUCGAUAGGUAACCUAAUUCCUAGACUUAGACUC
rnacentral:lncRNA from 1 species